rnacentral:rRNA from 1 species
AUUGAACGCUGGCGGCAGGCUUAACACAUGCAAGUCGGGCGGGGGAAGGUAGCUUGCUACUGGACCUAGCGGCGGACGGGUGAGUAAUGCUUAGGAAUCUGCCUAUUAGUGGGGGACAACAUCUCGAAAGGGAUGCUAAUACCGCAUACGUCCUACGGGAGAAAGCAGGGGAUCUUCGGACCUUGCGCUAAUAGAUGAGCCUAAGUCGGAUUAGCUAGUUGGUGGGGUAAAGGCCUACCAAGGCGACGAUCUGUAGCGGGUCUGAGAGGAUGAUCCGCCACACUGGGACUGAGACACGGCCCAGACUCCUACGGGAGGCAGCAGUGGGGAAUAUUGGACAAUGGGGGGAACCCUGAUCCAGCCAUGCCGCGCGUGUGAAGAAGGCCUUAUGGUUGUAAAGCACUUUAAGCGAGGAGGAGGCUACUUUAGUUAAUACCUAGAGAUAGUGGACGUUACUCGCAGAAUAAGCACCGGCUAACUCUGUGCCAGCAGCCGCCGUAA